GUGGGGUUUUGUUUCUGGACUCCAACUGGGCAAUCUCAGAAGAAGGGGAUUGUCCCAGAGGAGACAGAGGGAGAACAUUAGCAUCAGCUGUCCAUUUAAAGCAGCGGGUGUGUGGUGAGAAGAGGAGGGAGUUGGAGUCGGCAAGGCCGGGAGGUGCAGGAGGAGGAAAGGCUGCUGGAACCCAUGUGCACAGCCUUUGCAGACUGCGUGCACUGCCUAGCCCGCUGGUAACCAGGAGGAACAGCGGCUGCUUGAGUCCCUGCCUAGGAUGGUCCAGAAACUCCAGACGUCCUGUCGCCUUCUCACCUCCUCUGCUGAGAGCUACAGAUCCUUCGUUGACAGACAGGGAGGGAAAUGUGCAAAUGGUGUGGAGAAGACAAUUCCACUACAGGAAUACAUUAACACGAUGGCUUCCCCCUCCAAAUUUUUUGGUUGCAAUUCCAUCUGUACUGAAAGCCAGUUCAAGCAGCCUUGGCCCAGACUUUUCCAAAAGAAAAUCGGAUCUCAGUUUCAAAACAAAAACCAAAGAGCUGGGUUUUUUGUUUUUUUUUCCCAGCCAGGUCUUCCAUAGUUAAAUUCAGGAUUAAGACCCACGGGGUUGUGGUUGGCCGGUGGGGCUCCCAGUUGCAGCGUGUCUCUCUGGUUCCUCGCCAGCCACGGCACUUGGCUGUGCAGGUAGCAGCGGGCACUGGGAGUGCCUCUCCAGCCUGCAUUCCUUGGCCAUGAAUUUUGAAGCCCUGUUUAUCUGAUGAAGACCUCUGGCGAGUGGAUUGCUCAUGACAGUGUCACACAGAUCCUAAUGAGUGACAUGAAAAGACACUGAAUAUUUUUUCCUCUUGGAAUGCCAACCAAUCCGGAAUUCCCCAGCUCCUCCAUUCGAGCUGAUGCCACAAAGGCCUGGUGCUGAGAACCAAUGAGACCUUCCUUAUGUCUACCAAAGCCCGGCAGGACACGUACAAGUCUCCUCUGUGAGCCUGUCACUGCAGCUUCUUCUGGAGAUUUUUUUAAAAAAUUACAUCUGCUCCUUCAGUGAGCCUUACUCUGCAUUAAUGAGUCAUUUCCACAUGCAGUCCCUGGGAGUCCCCUAGAAAUUAAUUCCAGGACUUCCUUCCCACCCGAGAGUAUAAGAUUUGACAUUUCUUAAGUGCCUGGUGUGAGUUGGUGCAGAUGUGCAAGUAACCCUCCACCUUCCUGUACAGCUUCCACUGACUUUCACGACUGUUACACCCAAUAGGAUGCAAUAUUACACACAUGUUUUUAUUAUGUGCUCUCUGUAGAACAUUAGCAACAAAAACCUCUGUACAGUUCCAAAGUUUCCCUUAAAUAAUAAUUAUGUGCACACGGCAUGCUUGUGGGUGCACACACCACAGCAUAAGUGUGGAGGUAAGAGGACAAUUACGUGGUGUUGAGUCUCUCCUCUCCCUUUUGUGUGGGUUCUG
rnacentral:lncRNA from 1 species